GGGUGGAGAGGAGUGCGUGGGAGGUGCUCGGGGGAGGGGGCGGAGAGGAGUGUGCAGGAGGUGCUCGGGGGAGGGGGCAGAGAGGAGUGUGCAGGAGAUGCUCGGGGGAGGGGGCGGAGAGGAGUGUGCAGGAGGUGCUCGGGGGAGGGGGCAGAGAGGAGUGUGCAGGAGGUGCUCGGGGGAGGGGGCAGGGAGGAGUGUGCAGGAGGUGCUCGGGGGAGGGGGCGGAGAGGAGUGUGCAGGAGGUGCUCGGGGGAGGGGGCGGAGAGGAGUGUGCAGGAGGUGCUCGGGAGAGGGGACGGAGAGGAGUGUGCAGGAGGUGCCCGGGGCAGGGGACGGAGAGGAGUGUGCAGGAGGUGCCCGGGGCAGGGGACGGAGAGGAGUGUG